UACGUAGGGUGCAAGCGUUGUCCGGAUUUAUUGGGCGUAAAGAGCUCGUAGGCGGUUCGGUAAGUCAGGUGUGAAAUCUCCACGCUCAACGUGGAGGCGCCACCUGAAACUGCCGUGACUCGAGUCCGGUAGGGGAGUGUGGAAUUCCCGGUGUAGCGGUGAAAUGCGUAGAUAUUGGGAGGAACACCAGUGGCGAAGGCGGCUCACGUGGACCGGUUCUGACGCUGAGGCGCGAAAGCGUGGGGAGCAAACGG
rnacentral:rRNA from 1 species